rnacentral:rRNA from 1 species
GUGUGACUGCGUACCUUUUGUAUAAUGGGUCAGCGACUUAUAUUCUGUAGCAAGGUUAACCGUAUAGGGGAGCCGGAGGGAAACCGAGUCUUAACCGGGCGUUAAGUUGCAGGGUAUAGACCCGAAACCCGGUGAUCUAGCCAUGGGCAGGUUGAAGGUUGGGUAACACUAACUGGAGGACCGAACCGACUAAUGUUGAAAAAUUAGCGGAUGACCUGUGGCUGGGGGUGAAAGGCCAAUCAAACCGGGAGAUAGCUGGUUCUCCCCGAAAGCUAUUUAGGUAGCGCCUCGUGAAUUCAUCUCCGGGGGUAGAGCACUGUUUCGGCUAGGGGGCCAUCCCGGCUUACCAACCCGAUGCAAACUGCGAAUACCGGAGAAUGUUAUCACGGGAGACACACGGCGGGUGCUAACGUCCGUCGUGAAGAGGGAAACAACCCAGACCGCCAGCUAAGGUCCCAAAGUCAUGGUUAAGUGGGAAACGAUGUGGGAAGGCCCAGACAGCCAGGAUGUUGGCUUAGAAGCAGCCAUCAUUUAAAGAAAGCGUAAUAGCUCACUGGUCGAGUCGGCCUGCGCGGAAGAUGUAACGGGGCUAAACCAUGCACCGAAGCUGCGGCAGCGAACGUAUCACCCAAGACAACUUUACGGAGUUGACGAUUGACGGAGCGAAGCGACGUCAAAGCGUUCAUUAAAGUCGAGUUGGCUUAGGGAUACGUUCGUUGGGUAGGGGAGCGUUCUGUAAGCCUGUGAAGGUGUGUCGUGAGGCAUGCUGGAGGUAUCAGAAGUGCGAAUGCUGACAUAAGUAACGAUAAAGCGGGUGAAAAGCCCGCUCGCCGGAAGACCAAGGGUUCCUGUCCAACGUUAAUCGGGGCAGGGUGAGUCGACCCCUAAGGCGAGGCCGAAAGGCGUAGUCGAUGGGAAACGGGUUAAUAUUCCCGUACUUGGUGUUACUGCGAAGGGGGGACGGAGAAGGCUAUGUUGGCCGGGCGACGGUUGUCCCGGUUUAAGCGUGUAGGUGUGUGUUCCAGGUAAAUCCGGUUCACUUUAACACUGAGGCGUGACGACGAGGCACUACGGUGCUGAAGCAACAAAUGCCCUGCUUCCAGGAAAAGCCUCUAAGCAUCAGGUAACACGAAAUCGUACCCCAAACCGACACAGGUGGUCAGGUAGAGAAUACCAAGGCGCUUGAGAGAACUCGGGUGAAGGAACUAGGCAAAAUGGUGCCGUAACUUCGGGAGAAGGCACGCUGACACGUAGGUGAAGUGAUUUACUCAUGGAGCUGAAGUCAGUCGAAGAUACCAGCUGGCUGCAACUGUUUAUUAAAAACACAGCACUGUGCAAACACGAAAGUGGACGUAUACGGUGUGACGCCUGCCCGGUGCCGGAAGGUUAAUUGAUGGGGUCAGCGUAAGCGAAGCUCCUGAUCGAAGCCCCGGUAAACGGCGGCCGUAACUAUAACGGUCCUAAGGUAGCGAAAUUCCUUGUCGGGUAAGUUCCGACCUGCACGAAUGGCGUAAUGAUGGCCAGGCUGUCUCCACCCGAGACUCAGUGAAAUUGAACUCGCUGUGAAGAUGCAGUGUACCCGCGGCAAGACGGAAAGACCCCGUGAACCUUUACUAUAGCUUGACACUGAACAUUGAGCCUUGAUGUGUAGGAUAGGUGGGAGGCUUUGAAGUGUGGACGCCAGUCUGCAUGGAGCCGACCUUGAAAUACCACCCUUUAAUGUUUGAUGUUCUAACGUGGACCCGUAAUCCGGGUUGCGGACAGUGUCUGGUGGGUAGUUUGACUGGGGCGGUCUCCUCCUAAAGAGUAACGGAGGAGCACGAAGGUUGGCUAAUCCUGGUCGGACAUCAGGAGGUUAGUGCAAUGGCAUAAGCCAGCUUGACUGCGAGCGUGACGGCGCGAGCAGGUGCGAAAGCAGGUCAUAGUGAUCCGGUGGUUCUGAAUGGAAGGGCCAUCGCUCAACGGAUAAAAGGUACUCCGGGGAUAACAGGCUGAUACCGCCCAAGAGUUCAUAUCGACGGCGGUGUUUGGCACCUCGAUGUCGGCUCAUCACAUCCUGGGGCUGAAGUAGGUCCCAAGGGUAUGGCUGUUCGCCAUUUAAAGUGGUACGCGAGCUGGGUUUAGAACGUCGUGAGACAGUUCGGUCCCUAUCUGCCGUGGGCGCUGGAGAACUGAGGGGGGCUGCUCCUAGUACGAGAGGACCGGAGUGGACGCAUCACUGGUGUUCGGGUUGUCAUGCCAAUGGCACUGCCCGGUAGCUAAAUGCGGAAGAGAUAAGUGCUGAAAGCAUCUAAGCACGAAACUUGCCCCGAGAUGAGUUCUCCCUGAGACUUAGAGUCUCCUGAAGGAACGUUGAAGACGACGACGUUGAUAGGCCGGGUGUGUAAGCGCAGCGAUGCGUUGAGCUAACCGGUACUAAUGAACCGUGAGGCUUAACCUU